UACGUAGGGCGCAAGCGUUAUCCGGAAUUAUUGGGCGUAAAGAGCUCGUAGGCGGUUUGUCGCGUCUGCCGUGAAAGUCCGGGGCUCAACCCCGGGCCUGCAGCCGAUACGGGCAGACUAGAGUUCGGCAGGGGAGACUGGAAUUCCUGGUGUAGCGGUGAAAUGCGCAGAUAUCAGGAGGAACACCGGUGGCGAAGGCGGGUCUCUGGGCCGAUACUGACGCUGAGGAGCGAAAGCGUGGGGAGCGAACAGG
rnacentral:rRNA from 1 species